ACAUAACCAAAAUCGUGUAAUAAUUUCUCAUACAUUGCUUAAUUGGGAUGUUUGAAUAUACCAUAGUGGCUUGCUCAACACCACGAGCAUCCCCAUAUUUUUAGAAUAAUUUUAUGUCGUCCCACGCACCCUCACGUGCAGGCCACAACAUGGCCAUACACGCCGGCCACGCGUGGGCACAUGCUUGGCAUGUUGGACAGAAACCCUAACGGCGUUAGGGAAUAUUCCGUUAAAUAGUAGCAUAAACCGUUAACUUUACCUGACAUCAUUAGUAUAUUUCGUCAAAGUUGACGGAAUAUGCCCCUUUCUUUUUCGGUGCUUCGCCGGGAUCCGUCACCAACCGCUGUUGUGUCACAGGAAACUGGAAAUUCUUAAAACCUUAAUUUCUACUUUGUUUCAACUCCAAAAUUUACAAAUUUUAUAUGGAAUUGAAUCCCUAAACUAUGAGAACAUAACCAUACCUCUUUGAGGUUCUAA
rnacentral:lncRNA from 1 species